GCACAGGUAGUUCGGGGAUAGAAUUUUUGCCUUCUAUGCAGGAGACCUGGGUUAGAUUCCUGGCAUUUUCA
rnacentral:tRNA from 1 species